ACGGCUCAGUAACACGUAGUCAACCUAACCUAUGGACGGGAAUAACCUCGGGAAACUGAGAAUAAUGCCCGAUAGAACACUAUACCUGGAAUGGUUUGUGUUCCAAAUGAUUUAUCGCCAUAGGAUGGGACUGCGGCCUAUCAGUUUGUUGGUGAGGUAAUGGCCCACCAAGACUAUUACAGGUACGGGCUCUGAGAGGAGUAGCCCGGAGAUGGGUACUGAGACACGGACCCAGGCCCUAUGGGGCGCAGCAGGCGAGAAAACUUUGCAAUGUGCGAAAGCACGGCAAGGUUAAUCCGAGUGAUUUGUGCUAAACGAAUCUUUUGUUAGUCCUAGAAACACUAACGGAUAAGGGGUGGGCAAGUUCUGGUGUCAGCCGCCGCGGUAAAACCAGCACCUCAAGUGGUCAGGAUGAUUAUUGGGCCUAAAGCAUCCGUAGCCGGCUCUGUAAGUUUUCGGUUAAAUCUGUACGCUUAACGUACAGGCUGCCGGGAAUACUGCAGAGCUAGGGAGUGGGAGAGGUAGACGGUACUCGGUAGGAAGUGGUAAAAUGCUUUGAUCUAUCGAUGACCACCUGUGGCGAAGGCGGUCUACCAGAACACGUCCGACGGUGAGGGAUGAAAGCUGGGGGAGCAAACCGGAUUAGAUACCCGGGUAGUCCCAGCUGUAAACUAUGCAAACUCAGUGAUGCAUUGGCUUGUGGCCAAUGCAGUGCUGCAGGGAAGCCGUUAAGUUUGCCGCCUGGGAAGUACGUACGCAAGCAUGAAACUUAAAGGAAUUGGCGGGGGAGCAC
rnacentral:rRNA from 1 species